CUUGUGGGGAACUGUGUGUUCUCAUGAUGACCCCCUGAGUUGCAGAGCCAAAAGGACAGACUGCCAACUUCCUGAUGAGGAAGUGGUGGCGGGCUGAGCACGGAAAAAGCUGAGGCUGUGGCCUAGCAAGUUGUGAAAACUGCAUGCUCUCAUUUAUGACUGCUGAUUAAAAUCUAGUUGGCUGACCACAAGAACUAAGCUGCGCUCGGGUGUGAUGAUUCUGAGAAGACUUCUGAACAACUUCUGUUUUUUUAUUUUUUCUCCCCCUACUUCCCCUUUUUUACACUUCUAUAUAAGAAGCUUGUGUGAGGCAAUAAAACGAGGCUUGAUCAGA